AUUGAACGCUAGCGGGAUGCUUUACACAUGCAAGUCGAACGAGUGGCGGACUGGUGAGUAAUAUAUCGGAACGUGCCCAGUAUCGGCGUAUAACUACUCGAAAGAUUGGCUAAUACCGCAUACUAUUGUAUCGGCCGAUAUCGGAUUAGCUAGUUGGUGGGGUAAAGGCUCACCAAGGCAACGAUCCGUAGCUGGUUUGAGAGGAGGACCAGCCACACUGGGACUGAGACACGGCCCAGACUCCUACGGGAGGCAGCAGUAGGGAAUUUUGGACAAUGGGGGAAACCCUGAUCGAGCCAUGCCGCGUGUAUGAGAAGGCCUUCGGGUUGUAAAGCACUUUUGGCAGAGAAGCGGUAUCUACAGAAUAAGCACCGGCUAACUACGUGCCAGCAGCCGCGGUAAUAC
rnacentral:rRNA from 1 species